UACAGAGGGUGCGAGCGUUAAUCGGAAUUACUGGGCGUAAAGGGCUCGUAGGCGGCCAACUAAGUCGGACGUGAAAUCCCUCAGCUUAACUGGGGAACUGCGUCCGAUACUGGAUGGCUUGGAUUUGGGAGAGGGAUGCGGAAUUCCAGGUGUAGCGGUGAAAUGCGUAGAUAUCUGGAGGAACACCGGUGGCGAAGGCGGCAUCCUGGACCAAUAUUGACGCUGAGGAGCGAAAGCUAGGGGAGCAAACGGG
rnacentral:rRNA from 1 species